ACCAAGUGUUGGAUUGUU
rnacentral:snRNA from 1 species